rnacentral:rRNA from 1 species
CUACCAUGGCGUUUACGGGUAACGGAGGAUUAGGGUUCGAUUCCGGAGAGGGAGCCUGAGAAACGGCUACCACAUCUAAGGAUGGCAGCAGGCGCGUAAAUUACCCAAUCCUGAUUCAGGGAGGUAGUGACAAGAAAUAACGGACCGGGUCUUCGGACUUCGGGAUUGCAAUGAGCCGAAUUUACACCCCUUAGCGAGAAUCGAUUGGAGGGCAAGUCUGGUGCCAGCAGCCGCGGUAAUUCCAGCUCCAAUAGCGUAUAUUAAAGUUGUUGCAGUUAAAAAGCUCGUAGUUGGAUUUCUGGGAGGGUGCCAAUGUCCGCCGUAGCGCGUGUGCAGCCGCGCCCUUCCAUCCUUCUGUUAACGCCUCUUGGCAUUUGUUUGCUGGUGGCGGGCUCAGAUAUUUUACCUUGAGAAAAUUAGAGUGUUUCAGGCAGGCUAGGCCGGAAUAUAUUAGCAUGGAAUAAUGGAAUAGGACUACGGUCUCUUUGUUGGUUUGAGGGACUGCAGUAAUGAUUAAUAGGGAUAGUUGGGGGCAUUAGUAUUUAAUUGUCAGAGGUGGAAUUCUCAGAUUUGUUAAAGACUAACUUAUGCGAAAGCAUUUGCCAAGGAUGUUUUCAUUAAUCAA